UGGGGAAUUUUGGACAAUGGGCGAAAGCCUGAUCCAGCAAUGCCGCGUGUGUGAAGAAGGCCUUCGGGUUGUAAAGCACUUUUGUCCGGAAAGAAAUCCUUGGCUCUAAUACAGUCGGGGGAUGACGGUACCGGAAGAAUAAGCACCGGCUAACUACGUGCCAGCAGCCGCGGUAAUACGUAGGGUGCAAGCGUUAAUCGGAAUUACUGGGCGUAAAGCGUGCGCAGGCGGUUUGCUAAGACCGAUGUGAAAUCCCCGGGCUCAACCUGGGAACUGCAUUGGUGACUGGCAGGCUAGAGUAUGGCAGAGGGGGGUAGAAUUCCACGUGUAGCAGUGAAAUGCGUAGAGAUGUGGAGGAAUACCGAUGGCGAAGGCAGCCCCCUGGGCCAAUACUGACGCUCAUGCACGAAAAGCGUGGGGGAGCAAACAGGAUUAGAUACCCUGGUAGUCCACGCCCUAAACGAUGUCAACUAGGUUGUUGGGGAUUCAUUUCCUUAGUAACGUAGCUAACGCGUGAAGUUGACCGCC
rnacentral:rRNA from 1 species